GACGAACGCUGGCGGCGUGCUUAACACAUGCAAGUCGAACGGAAAGGCCCUGCUUUUGUGGGGUGCUCGAGUGGCGAACGGGUGAGUAACACGUGAGUAACCUGCCCUUGACUUUGGGAUAACUUCAGGAAACUGGGGCUAAUACCGGAUAGGAGCUCCUGCUGCAUGGUGGGGGUUGGAAAGUUUCGGCGGUUGGGGAUGGACUCGCGGCUUAUCCGCUUGUUUGUGGGGUAGUUGCUUACCAAGGCUUCGACGGGUAGCCGGCCUGAGAGGGUGACCGGCCACCUGGGGACUGAGAUACGGCCCAGACUCCUACGGGAGGCAGCAGGGGGGAAUAUUGCACAAUGGGCGGAAGCCUGAUGCAGCAACGCCGCGUGCGGGAUGACGGCCUUCGGGUUGUAAACCGCUUUCGCCUGUGACGAAGCGUGAGUGACGGUAAUGGGUAAAGAAGCACCGGCUAACUACGUG
rnacentral:rRNA from 1 species